rnacentral:lncRNA from 1 species
ACGAAUAUGCCGCAUUGCAUCGAUUGUUGUUGAUGUGGGUGAAUGUUGGAUGACCCAAUUAGUCCAUGACAGGAAGACCAGGACCCCAUUCUACGGCCUGACACUAUGUAAGGAAAGACCAGGACCCCAUUCUACGGCCUGGCACGGUUAUGGGACUCGAAGACCAGGAGCCCAGAGGAGGCCCUGGGGCAAAUGGUAAGUAAUGUAUGUUAUGACAGGAAGACCAGGACCCCAUGCUAUGGCCUGGCACAAUGUUAGCUUGGACUAUUUGGUGACAAGUUCACCCAACCCUUAUGUGAAUUGUCUGUGUUAUGAUGCAUUUCAUUGGAGCAUAG